UACUUGUCUCCAUUCAUAGACUUUAGUACAAUUUCAGUCAAUUCACUAUCAAGUAUGCAACUAGCCCUUGUGGAUCCUCUUUUCAGAUCCUUUUGGUUUAAACACCAUUGUAAUAUCUCCAUUUCCUUUUGAGAUACGCCUCUUGGUCAUUCUCACCUUCUUGGUUUUGACACCACUUUUAUUACAGUUCUUGGUUAUGACACCACAAUUUAGGGACACACCUUCAUGGUUAACCCCCUUCUUGGUUUUGACACCCUUUUAUUUAAGUUCUUGGUUAUGACACCAUAAUUCAGGGACACACCUACAUGAUUAACCACAUUCUUGGUUUUGACACCACUUUUAUUUCAGUUCUUGGUUAUGAC
rnacentral:lncRNA from 1 species